rnacentral:rRNA from 1 species
AGAGUUUGAUCCUGGCUCAGAUUGAACGCUGGCGGCAGGCCUAACACAUGCAAGUCGAGCGGCAGCGGGAAAGUAGCUUGCUACUUUUGCCGGCGAGCGGCGGACGGGUGAGUAAUGCCUGGGGGUCUGCCCAGUCGAGGGGGAUAACAGUUGGAAACGACUGCUAAUACCGCAUACGCCCUACGGGGGAAAGGAGGGGACCUUCGGGCCUUUCGCGAUUGGAUGAACCCAGGUGGGAUUAGCUAGUUGGUGGGGUAAUGGCUCACCAAGGCGACGAUCCCUAGCUGGUCUGAGAGGAUGAUCAGCCACNCUGGAACUGAGACACGGUCCAGACUCCUACGGGAGGCAGCAGUGGGGAAUAUUGCACAAUGGGGGAAACCCUGAUGCAGCCAUGCCGCGUGUGUGAAGAAGGCCUUCGGGUUGUAAAGCACUUUCAGCGAGGAGGAAAGGUUGGCGCCUAAUACGUGUCAACUGUGACGUUACUCGCAGAAGAAGCACCGGCUAACUCCGUGCCAGCAGCCGCGGUAAUACGGAGGGUGCAAGCGUUAAUCGGAAUUACUGGGCGUAAAGCGCACGCAGGCGGUUGGAUAAGUUAGAUGUGAAAGCCCCGGGCUCAACCUGGGAAUUGCAUUUAAAACUGUCCAGCUAGAGUCUUGUAGAGGGGGGUAGAAUUCCAGGUGUANCGGUGAAAUGCGUAGAGAUCUGGAGGAAUACCGGUGGCGAAGGCGGNCCCCUGGACAAAGACUGACGCUCA